UAUGAUCGAAGUUUCAAUGAC
rnacentral:miRNA from 1 species